rnacentral:piRNA from 2 species
GUUGGUCCGAGAGUAGUGGUGUUUACA